rnacentral:lncRNA from 1 species
AUAGGAUUCUUUCUUCAUGGUUUUUUAUCAAGAUCGAUGCUCGGCAAUGGUGCCAAAUGCCAUGAGAAGAAGGGAAAGAGAGAGAGGUGGGAUUGGCGUUCACCUUGAACUCUGAUGGCGUCUCCAGCUCCAAUUUCUGACAAACAUAGGUCUAGGAAAAUCAGCAUAAACGAGGAAGAAAGAGAUAGAGGAAGAAGAGAGGGGGGCCAUGUUCAUCGUGAUAUGCCUUGGAGGG